rnacentral:tRNA from 3 species
UGCACUCGUAGCUCAGCUGGAUAGAGUACUCGGCUACGAACCGAGCGGUCACAGGUUCGAAUCCUGUCGAGUGCACCAU